GAUGAACGCUAGCUACAGGCUUAACACAUGCAAGUCGAGGGGCAGCAUGGUCUUAGCUUGCUAAGGCCGAUGGCGACCGGCGCACGGGUGAGUAACACGUAUCCAACCUGCCGUCUACUCUUGGACAGCCUUCUGAAAGGAAGAUUAAUACAAGAUGGCAUCAUGAGUCCGCAUGUUCACAUGAUUAAAGGUAUUCCGGUAGACGAUGGGGAUGCGUUCCAUUAGAUAGUAGGCGGGGUAACGGCCCACCUAGUCUUCGAUGGAUAGGGGUUCUGAGAGGAAGGUCCCCCACAUUGGAACUGAGACACGGUCCAAACUCCUACGGGAGGCAGCAGUGAGGAAUAUUGGUCAAUGGGCGUAGGCCUGAACCAGCCAAGUAGCGUGAAGGAUGACUGCCCUAUGGGUUGUAAACUUCUUUUAUAAAGGAAUAAAGUCGGGUAUGGAUACCCGUUUGCAUGUACUUUAUGAAUAAGGAUCGGCUAACUCCGUG
rnacentral:rRNA from 1 species